rnacentral:lncRNA from 1 species
AGACGCAGGAAAUAUGAAGACAAGUUCAAAUGGAAAGAACACACAGACGUACAGAUACGACGAACGUGUAGUCAUGUGCCUAACAUACCACACAAAAGCUCUAUUUAUAUGAGUAAUCAAACAACUCAUGUGGAAUUUUACCGGAUAAACAUGUGACUUUAGGUUGUAACUUACGAAGAAGAAGUUAUAGCUUUACAUUCCUUGGAUGUCUCAAUAGCUAACGAUGGUAUCAAGAGUUUCAAACAGCUCA